UACGGAGGGUGCAAGCGUUAUCCGGAUUCACUGGGUUUAAAGGGUGCGUAGGCGGGCAGGUAAGUCCGUGGUGAAAUCUCUGAGCUUAACUCAGAAACUGCCAUGGAUACUAUUUGUCUUGAAUGUUGUGGAGGUAAGCGGAAUAUGUCAUGUAGCGGUGAAAUGCUUAGAUAUAACAUAGAACACCCAUUGCGAAGGCAGCUUACUACACAAAUAUUGACGCUGAGGCACGAAAGCGUGGGGAUCAAACAGG
rnacentral:rRNA from 1 species